GCAGAAGCAGAACUGUCAUGGGAAUUUGAACCCUGACCUGGGUCCUUCAGAGAGGGAUCAAGUUCCUCAUGUGAGGGUCCACUAGUUUUUGGUAGUGCAGCGCCUUCAACAGUUACAAUGGUCCCUUCGUCCCCCAUACCUUGUACCUCAUUUUUCUAGGAGAUGAUCUCAUACAGCACACUAUGAAGACUGUUGCAACAUUUUCUUCCUCAAUCGCCACUACUUACACCAGUGAAUCUGUAUCAACAUCUGUGGAAUCCUCUGUGACCUCGAGGUUUUGACCUUAUUCUCUGUUUGGUCUUUGAUUAGAUGGAACCUCAAAAGAUGAAAAGGAUAGAUCAACAAUUUUAGGGGUUUUUGAAAUAGAAAAAGACGAGGAAUCUAGGUGAGGUGUGAUUUUAGCAGGAAGGGGUAAG
rnacentral:lncRNA from 1 species